GCUCCAUGCACCGGGAGCCCGACGUGGGAUUCGAUCCCGGGUCUCCAGGAUCGUGCCCUGGGCCAAAGGCAGGUGCCAAACCGCUGCGCCACCCAGGGAUCCCCACAUCUAUUCUUAAUACCAAGGCCUGAGAAGCCAAGCAAUUCCCCCACUCCCACCUGCCCCUUUAGCCAGAGCCAAAGAAGAAGUUAGUACCCUUUAAUCCAGUGGUGCCAGUCUGGGGGAUGUUUGCUAUGUGUCACGUGGGCAGCAACAAUGGGACCCAAGAAUGUGAGUCAUGUAUGGCUGUUUACCUGGUGUGUUGCUGCAGGUCUUCUUGGAACUAGGCCCUGCAAUUCCUAAAGUACAUUCCACAGAUCAUCAGUUCCAUGAGAUGCUCCUCAAAAAAAGAGAUUUGUGCAGAGGCCAUGCCAAUCUUCUCUGUCAUUCCAAUUUUUCUCCAAAGAAGACAUACAGAUGGCCCACAGACGCAUGAAAAGAUGCUCAGCAUCACUCAUCAUCAUGGAAAUAAAAAUCAAAACUACAAUGAGAUAUCACUUCA